rnacentral:rRNA from 1 species
GUAGUCCACGCUGUAAACGAUGGGUAUUAGGAUUGGUGGGAGUUGACCCCUGCCGAUCCGGAGCUAACGCGAUAAAUACCCCGCCUGGGAAGUACGGUCGCAAGACUAAAACUCAAAGGAAUUGACGGGAGCCCGCACAAGCGGUGGAUUAUGUGGUUUAAUUCGAAGCAACGCGCAGAACCUUACCUGGGUUUGACAUCCUCUGACAAACAUAGAGAUAUGUCUUUUCUAGCAAUAGAACAGAGAGACAGGUGCUGCAUGGCUGUCGUCAGCUCGUGUGGUGGCAUGUCGGGUUAAGUCCCUCAACGAGCGCAACCCCUGUGUUUAGUUGCCAGCAUUAAGUUGGGCACUCUAGACAGACUGCCGUGGUUAACACGGA